rnacentral:lncRNA from 1 species
UUUAUCAUUUUACCUUAAUUUUAUGUUUUUGUCAAUUCUGUAAUUUAAUUAAGUUUAAUUUACUUUUCAUUAAAACCAAACACCCAUCCAUUAUUAAAUUAUAUUAUUUAGUUAGUUUUCUUUAUUGUUAGUAUUUUAAUUCAAUUUCCGUCCAUUUCAGUUCCUAGUGUCUAAUUUGAUUGUUUUCAUUAUUUUGAGUCAUUCUAAGUGUGUUUCGAGUUAUUAGAGUUUUUAGCCUAGUUUUGUGUCCUUGAAUCUUGUUUAAUAUUUUUAAAUUAAUUUAGAAUAGAUUAGCAAUCCCUCCUAAUCCCCGGCCUAG